CAGCAGCCGCGGUAAUACGUAGAGUGCGAGCGUUAAUCGGAAUUAUUGGGCGUAAAGGGCUCGCAGGCGGUUUCUUAAGUCUGAUGUGAAAGCCCCCGGCUCAACCGGGGAGGGUCAUUGGAAACUGGGAAACUUGAGUGCAGAAGAGGAGAGUGGAAUUCCACGUGUAGCGGUGAAAUGCGUAGAGAUGUGGAGGAACACCAGUGGCGAAGGCGACUCUCUGGUCUGUAACUGACGCUGAGGAGCGAAAGCGUGGGGAGCGAACAGGAUUAGAUACCCCAGUAGUCCCUGUCUCUUAUAC
rnacentral:rRNA from 1 species